rnacentral:lncRNA from 1 species
GUCGGAGCCCGGCCCUGCCGGCUGGAGAGGAUCCGAAUAGUGUACGCGUUUUGGCUUGCAGGGUUUUUAAUUGUCACCGAGUGGGGUUUACUGUAGGCUGUCAAAUCAGGAGUCGUAUUUUGUUGAGUCGAAAGUGAAAUUUACCUUCGGCCGACGUGACAGAGCCUGUGCCCUCUGCUGAUUUUCCACAUCUGUCCCUGGGCGUGUCAUUGGCUGCUCCUGACAACUGCGAUAGCUCAACCCCGGGACUUCUCCCAGUGGGUUACCCAGGUCCACCCAGUAGCAGUGUUUCCCAGUCGUUUCCAGUCUGAGACAAAGCCACGAUCUUGCCAGAACACAGGUAGACAAGAAGCCACUGCUUUCUUGGUUCCUCAUGCUGAGUCAUCCACCAAUUCAAGAAAUGGUCCAAACACUGCUCUUUGCCACUUAUAUAACCUAUCGUUCAUGUUCAAUGAUAGCUUAGCACUUAGCACCUGGCACAGUACUUGGUAUGUGAUGCUUGUUUUCCCCCAUUAAACUUAACUAGCCAACUUGAGCUUAUAUCCUCUCAUAAAACUGCAGCUGAGGGUCAUCAGAGCUGGCUUCCUAUUACCCAGGAGUCCUGCUCCAUUUGUGCUGCUAUAACAGAAGACCAUAGAGUGGCUGGCUUAUAAACAACAGACAUUUAUUUCUCCCAGUUCUGAAGGCUGGAGCCCUAAGGUCUAGGUGCGAGCAGAUUCCAUGUCUGGUGAGGUCAAAUUUCCUGAUUCACAGUCUUUUAUCUUUUGACUGUGUCCUUACAGGGCAGAAGGGAGGUUUCUGGGGCCUCCUUUUUCAGGGCACUAAUCUGGAGCUCUCAUGACCGAAUGACUUCCCAAAGCCUCUACCUAAAGUGCCAUCACGUUGGGUGUUAGGAUUUCAACAUAUGAAUUUGUGGGGGGUACACACAUAUUCAAACGGUUGAAGGUAAGUUGAUGAAGUUGAAAGGAAUCAUGAUUUGCAGGUUACCAACCUUUUGAAUCAAAGAUUCUGUAAGAAAAAGGUACUUUUUAAGUAAACAUGAGCAGCAGAAUUUGACUUUAUACUUGAAGAGGAGGGAUCCGCUGGACCAUAAGCUUAUCACUGUGUUUCCCAGGAUGUACCUUAUCAGGUCGCUCACAAAUUACUGCUACCACCAGCAUAUUGGCCACUAGGAGGCACUGUUUCCCCUUCAGGGCUGUGGGCCAGUUACUGGCUGUGAAUCAAAUCUACAGUUGAGCCUAACUGAAGCUGGUUCUUUUUAUCUUCUAGAAAUACCGCAGGGAAAUAAACGCUGAGAGUGAUGCGGUCUUUAUGACCUGGCUUAUAAGGAGAGUGUAUUGAUUGAGAAUGUUCAUGUCUCACGGGGCGUCCUGUCUUCCUGGCUCUUGGACUUACUGAUACAGAUAGGGUCCUCUUUGCUCCCAGCAUAAAGGAAUCAUUUACCAGGCCUGGUGCAAGGGGCUGGGCAGAACAAAAUGCAAGAUCCCUUCUCAGAGUCCAGUCUAGUGGGGGGAGACACACGGCAAGGGAGAGGUCCUGACAGCCUUCCUCAGAUCCACCCUCACAGUGCCUGUCUUCUGGUUUUUAGAGUUGAGGAUAUUUCCCUUCAGAGAGCACCCACCCCAGCAGGGAGUAGCCAUUGCAGCUCACAGCACAGCCCUAACUCAUUUUGUCAGUUCAUGUAAUAGAGGGUCCGUUUGUUACAUAUGCACUUGAGUUUAUCUAUGAGAUAAUUUUCUAUUUUACGUAUACCUCGACCAAAGAGCAGCUAUGAAUAAUAACAGCUAAGAAAACCAAAUAGCUAAUUCAUUCAAUUGGGAUUAUGUUUACAUCUUUAUUCUCAAGAUUUAUUCACAAGAUACAGGAGUUCCUGUUGUGGCUCAGCGGGUUAAGUACCUGACUGGUAUCCAUGAGGAUGUGGGUUUGAUCCCUGGCCUGGCUCAGUGGGUUGGGGAUCCGGUGUUGCUGUGGCCAUGGCUUAGGCCUCAGGUGCAGCUCUCAUUAGACCUCUAGCCUGGGAAAUUCCAUAUGCCACAGGUGCAGUUGUAAAAAGAAAAAAAAAAGAUUCAAUAUUUAGACUGAAUAACAGGUUCUACUUUUGCAGGGGCGGGCGGCUGUGCUCACUGCAUGCAGAUGUUCCCGGGCCAGGCAUCAAACCCAUGCAACGGCAGUAAUCAGAGCCACAGCAGUGACAAUGUCAGAUCCUUAAUUUACUGACCCACCAGGGAAUUCCAGAUUCUACUUUCAUUAAAUCCAGUUCUGUUCUGAAUGAAUGUCAAAGUUUGAAAUAUACAAGGGUUAUUUUAAUUUUAUAAAAUUUAUAUUUGGCAAGACUAGGGCUAGUAACAUCUUUCUACAUUGGUUUGGACUCUAAUGAAGACAACUAAUAAUGACCCUUUAUAGAAGAAAUGCGAGUGGCAUCCCCAUUCACAAGUUUGAUGAUCUUUGAAAUGUUGUAGAUUUUAUCUCAGGUCCAUUCCUUCACCCUCACCUGGCUAUAAACAUGCAGGGCUGAAGGGUCUCAUGUCAUGCACAUAUCAUUAGGCUCUUCUCCCAUCAAACAUCUUUUCACAUACAUACUUGAAUGUUUAUGCUUGUCCAUUUACCUUUUGCAGUUAAGAUUGUUAGCUCUCAUGGGGUUCCCGUCAUGGCUCAGUGGUAACAAACCCUACUAGUAUCCAUGAGGGCUCAGGUUUGAUCCCUGGCCUCCCUCAGUGGGUUCAGGAUCUGGCGUUGCCAUAAGCUGUGGUGUAGGUCGCAGACUUGGCUUGGAUCCCUUGUUGCUCUGGCUGUGGUAUAGGCCAGCAGCUGCAGCUCCAAUUUGAUCCCUAGCCUGGGAACCUCCAUAUGCCAUGGGUGCAGCC